rnacentral:ncRNA from 1 species
UUUAUGGAGAGUUUGAUCCUGGCUCAGGACGAACGCUGGCGGCGUGCCUAAUACAUGCAAGUCGAGCGAAUGGACGGGAGCUUGCUCCCUGAAAUUAGCGGCGGACGGGUGAGUAACACGUGGGCAACCUGCCCUGUAGACUGGGAUAACUUCGGGAAACCGAAGCUAAUACCGGAUAAUCUUUGGAGCCUCAUGGUUCUAAAGUGAAAGUUGGGUUUACCUAACACUACAGGAUGGGCCCGCGUCGCAUUAGCUAGUUGGUAAGGUAACGGCUUACCAAGGCGACGAUGCGUAGCCGACCUGAGAGGGUGAUCGGCCACACUGGGACUGAGACACGGCCCAGACUCCUACGGGAGGCAGCAGUAGGGAAUCUUCCGCAAUGGACGAAAGUCUGACGGAGCAACGCCGCGUGAGCGAUGAAGGCCUUCGGGUCGUAA